rfam:Echinostoma caproni strain Egypt genome assembly, scaffold: ECPE_scaffold0035319
UCCAAGGCCUUUUUGAAGGCCACAACUGUUGAACAGCUUAUGACAU